UAAUACGUAGGCAGCAAGCGUUGUUCGGAGUUACUGGGCGUAAAGAGUGCGUAGGCGGUCCCUUAAGUUUGGUGUGAAAUCUCCCGGCUCAACUGGGAGGGUGCGCCGAAAACUGGGGGGCUUGAGUGUCGGAGAGGUACGCGGAAUUCCUGGUGUAGCGGUGAAAUGCGUAGAUAUCAGGAGGAACACCUGUGGUGUAGACAGCGUACUGGACGAUAACUGACGCUGAGGCACGAAAGCGUGGGUAGCAAACAGGAUUAGAUACCCUGGUAGUCCACGCCCUAAACGAUGCAUACUUGGUGUGGGCCAUUCAUUUGGUCUGUGCCGGAGCUAACGCGUUAAGUAUGCCGCCUGGGGAGUACGGUCGCAAGGCUG
rnacentral:rRNA from 1 species